rnacentral:misc_RNA from 1 species
CUUGUUACUGAUUCCAAUUCUUGCCUCCCUUCAAUUUUUAGGUCACCAAGUGUCAUUUGAAUUGAUUUUCGAUUUAUUUCAGCUGUAUCUGUAUCUUUGAAAGUAUUUCUAAGGAUAAGUUGUAAAGAGUGGAUUGCAUCCAUUUCGUAGUCCUUCCAAGGCAAACUUCUUGUCUUGACUACUUCAAGGAAAGCCUUGAAAG